UACGUAGGUGGCGAGCGUUGUCCGGAUUUACUGGGCGUAAAGCGCGCGCAGGCGGCUUUGCAAGUCCGAUGUGAAAGCUCCCGGCUUAACUGGGAAAGUGCAUCGGAAACUGCUCGGCUGGAAGGUGGGAGAGGGUAGCGGAAUUCCCGGUGUAGUGGUGAAAUGCGUAGAUAUCGGGAGGAACACCAGUGGCGAAAGCGGCGACCUGGCCCAUUCUUGACGCUGAGGCGCGAAAGCUAGGGGAGCAAACAGG
rnacentral:rRNA from 1 species